AGAUGGGAUUUUCUCAUCUACUGCUCCAGUUCACAUACUGCGAGGUACUAGCUUUGAUGAGAUCUGGUUUUCUGGAAAAAAAAAAAAGGUCUGUUAAAGGGAGAAGGAACUCAGUGAAUAUUGCCCUGGGUCCUGGUAAUUCCACCUACUGAAGACAACUGCCCCUUCUGCUCAUAUUUCCUGAGUCAACAUGGCCGUUCCUAACUUUGAAGAGACUUUAGACAUUCUUUGUUACAAUGAACCUAGAAGAAAGAAGAGAAAUAAUAACUGCCAUGGAAGGAUGCUCCUCCUGCCAAUUGGCACUUAUCAAUGACAUCGAGGGAGAGGGACAGAGUGCCUAGGUAUGAGCCUUCAUCAAGUGGUAUGAAGGCCCUACCCCAACAGAAAGUGCUGAUGUGAUGAAAUGGUGCUUUGGACAAGACUUUUCCUCCAAGUUGGUCCUAUCCAGGGGUUGGCAAACAGGGUCCCUGGACAUCAUCCAUGUGGCAUACUCUUAUGAAUAAAGUUCUAUAGGACACA
rnacentral:lncRNA from 1 species